rnacentral:rRNA from 1 species
GGCUGAAAUUCGCCUUCAUGAAGCCCGGGGAUUGCUAGUAAUGGCAGGUCAGCAUACUGCCGUGAAUACGUUCCCGGGCCUUGUACACACCGCCCGUCACACCAUGAGAGUUGGGGAUACCCGAAGCCUGUGAGCUAACUAUUUAUAGGAGCAGCAGUCGAAGGUAGAAUCAAUGAUUGGGGUGAAGUCGUAACAAGGUACC